AUUGAACGCUGGCGGCAGGCCUAACACAUGCAAGUCGAACGGUAACAGGAAACAGCUUGCUGUUUCGCUGACGAGUGGCGGACGGGUGAGUAAUGUCUGGGAAACUGCCUGAUGGAGGGGGAUAACUACUGGAAACGGUAGCUAAUACCGCAUAACGUCGCAAGACCAAAGAGGGGGACCUUCGGGCCUCUUGCCAUCAGAUGUGCCCAGAUGGGAUUAGCUAGUAGGUGGGGUAACGGCUCACCUAGGCGACGAUCCCUAGCUGGUCUGAGAGGAUGACCAGCCACACUGGAACUGAGACACGGUCCAGACUCCUACGGGAGGCAGCAGUGGGGAAUAUUGCACAAUGGGCGCAAGCCUGAUGCAGCCAUGCCGCGUGUAUGAAGAAGGCCUUCGGGUUGUAAAGUACUUUCAGCGGGGAGGAAGGGAGUAAAGUUAAUACCUUUGCUCAUUGACGUUACCCGCAGAAGAAGCACCGGCUAACUCCGUGCCAGCAGCCGCGGUGAUACGGAGGGUGCAAGCGUUAAUCGGAAUUACUGGGCGUAAAGCGCACGCAGGCGGUUUGUUAAGUCAGAUGUGAAAUCCCCGGGCUCAACCUGGGAACUGCAUCUGAUACUGGCAAGCUUGAGUCUCGUAGAGGGGGGUAGAAUUCCAGGUGUAGCGGUGAAAUGCGUAGAGAUCUGGAGGAAUACCGGUGGCGAAGGCGGCCCCCUGGACGAAGACUGACGCUCAGGUGCGAAAGCGUGGGGAGCAAACAGGAUUAGAUACCCUGGUAGUCCACGCCGUAAACGAUGUCGACUUGGAGGUUGUGCCCUUGAGGCGUGGCUUCCGGAGCUAACGCGUUAAGUCGACCGCCUGGGGAGUACGGCCGCAAGGUUAAAACUCAAAUGAAUUGACGGGGGCCCGCACAAGCGGUGGAGCAUGUGGUUUAAUUCGAUGCAACGCGAAGAACCUUACCUGGUCUUGACAUCCACGGAAGUUUUCAGAGAUGAGAAUGUGCCUUCGGGAACCGUGAGACAGGUGCUGCAUGGCUGUCGUCAGCUCGUGUUGUGAAAUGUUGGGUUAAGUCCCGCAACGAGCGCAACCCUUAUCCUUUGUUGCCAGCGGUCCGGCCGGGAACUCAAAGGAGACUGCCAGUGAUAAACUGGAGGAAGGUGGGGAUGACGUCAAGUCAUCAUGGCCCUUACGACCAGGGCUACACACGUGCUACAAUGGCGCAUACAAAGAGAAGCGACCUCGCGAGAGCAAGCGGACCUCAUAAAGUGCGUCGUAGUCCGGAUUGGAGUCUGCAACUCGACUCCAUGAAGUCGGAAUCGCUAGUAAUCGUGGAUCAGAAUGCCACGGUGAAUAAAGUUGCCCGGGCC
rnacentral:rRNA from 1 species